GCGCCUAUAGCUCAACUGGAUAGAGCGUCUGGCUACGGACCAGAAGGUUGUGGGUUCGAUUCCUGCUGGGCGCACCA
rnacentral:tRNA from 3 species